AAGCAAUUUUCCGGAAAUCCUUCCCAAAUGUGGCUAGCUUAUCCAUGAAAAUUUCUCUCUCUUCUGAGGUCCAGGGAUUGAUCAUAGCUCUCUCCUUCUCAACAACACAAGGAUCUUCAAUUAAUCCAUUUCUGGAGAUAAAUCGUGAAACCAUCCUCUCUUUUUUGUCCAAAAUUAAAGCUGGCAUUUUCAAAGCAUUUCUGUAUUGCUCGACUUGAGAAACUUGCAGCACCUUGCUGGUAAAGUUAAGCAUUUCUGUUGUAGUGACAAGACUUAAAUUUCCACCAGGAGAGAAUCGAGAUCGAAUUGAAGAACGAUUUUUUUUAUGCCCACUAUGUGUUGUCCGCAUGCUUAAUUCAUAUUUCUUUUGAGUCUUUGCACGGUAUUUCCUUAUUGAAAGAAAGCGCAUAUCUUCCUUCCACAGGUGCUGAAAGGCUUUAAACUUAAGGGUUACAACUCUCUCCUUAAAUUUCAAAAACCGCUUCCUCAUGACAAACCUUUCUUUAACUAAUGGAUCAUUCUGCCAGAAAGCAACGUUGGCAACUUCUGAAAAAUCAACAUUAAAUUGAUCCCUAGGCAGUAAAUUAAUAAAUACUUGGGAAGCUCUGGUAGCAGAUUCCUUAUUGGCGGUCAAUAUUAGAUGACAUAAAUUAUUUUCUGCAAUAAUCACAUCACUUGGAAAAGAUGCACCUUCUUUGCUCUCUGUAAGCAAGUUAACAUCCCUGUGAGCAGGUUCAUCAAUGUCUUGCCUAUUACUACAAGGCACCACAGACUUCAACACCAUGUUUGGUGUCUGAAUUACACCCAUAUCAUCAGAACACUCAUCCUGUCUCAUCAAAUCAGAUGAAGAAACUGCCAUCACCAUAGACGCUGAUUCAACAAAUUUCGAAGUUGCAGUUCCCGGACUAUCAACAUCAUCAUCCUUCCUACCACCAUGAACAAUUUCCAAGACGCCAUUACAAAUAGGAAUCUUCUCGACAUGCCCAGCCCCACAAGAUGAAACUUGCAAUGAAGAAGGUCGAGGUAUGUCGUUGGAAGAAGCUGCCUGUUCACUACAUAGUUUUGACUCAUCACCUGCUAGGAAACAACUGGCUGCUGCUGGACAAGGACAUCUGCUUCCAGUUUCAAAUUUCAGAGACUUAAGUUCAUUUUCAAGUAAAUCAAUUUCAGAUUCAGUCACCUCCAAGGCCUUUGAUAUGCCACCCUUCCAUAUAAGCAGCUUAUUCAAUGCAGUAGACUUUACAAAACUUGAGUCCACUGAACUAGAAUCAUCAGAUUGAAGCAGUUCAACAAGUGCAGAGCCCAAAUUAGCUAUUGAAGUAGCAUUCAACACGUCUAAGUUAAAAGAGAAACCUUCAAUAUGGCUCUGGGACCCAACACAGGGUGACCCACAUAAAUUACUAACAUCAUUAUCAGCAUUUAUUCCCUUGCCAAAUGUUUUCUCCUCUACAAGUGGUGAGGAACAGGUAACAGACGAAGGAGUUGCAGGUGAUGCACAAUCUGAUAAUCCCAUGGCUCGGGGGCUCUUGUCAACCAAAUUUGAACUUUGUGAAUGGAUGGGCUCUAUGUUACUAGAAGAAAUAACAACUCCAUCUUUGCUUACGUUCACCUCAGGGCCUUCAACUUUCUUCUUCUCAUACUUUGCCAGUCCCUCACCCCAAUUAAGGCGCGGUUUCUUCCUGGCAGCCAUUUCUUCAGAUGGUGCCGAAGUAACACAUGCAGCAGCAUCCCCAGAAGGAGACUGGACUAAAGAUGCAUUCUUAAGCUGCAACUCAGCCUUUCCUUCACAGGAAUCUGCACCUCCGAGGCUCUUUGAGCUACUUGAAUGGCUGAAACCAGAUCCCCUAGAAGACAAGCUUCCAGAGCGGGUCCACUUAUUAAGAGGUUUCCAAUCCAGUGAGUUCUCUCUAUCACCUCUUUGGCCUGUGCCCAUCCCAUUGACAACAACCAUCUUACCAUUAUCAUGAUGAUCUUUUGAGUGAAGCUGCUCCCACGUGUUCAUAAAUUCAGAAUGAUGAUGUGAGGAGGGGUAACUUACUGUAUCAUCAAGUGACCUCUGAACAGUACUUGCAUCAUGCAGCCUCCCAGGCGCGUUUGGAGACCCAUUGUUCAAUUCCCACGAAUGAGUUCUCCAAUCCCUCUGGCUAAAAGAUCCCCUAUUGUCCCUACCAUUCCUUCCAUAUUUACUAUCUCCUCGUGAAACUGAUGGACGGAAAUUCUUUUCUUCCAGUAUCCUGUCACUGGACCGAAAAGGUGCAUACCCAUGGCCAGAUUCUUCAGCAAACGGGUGCCAUGCACCCAGCUUAACAUAACCAGGAGGCCUGCGAAACUCGUUGGAUCCUCCCCAGCGAGAAAUAUCGCGAGAUGAUCCAUAAUGACCUGAAGCCGACUCCCUCCAUCGAGGCUUCCUCUCCUUAAAAAAGUCUUUCCGAUCCCCUGGCAAUCGCUCUGGCGGCAUCAAACCAACAAAACCCUAACGCUAAUCUAAUCUAUUUAUCCGCCUACCUACCUAUUUAUCUGGCAUGAGCCAACAACACAAAAAAAAAUCCAAAAAUCCUGCGCCGCACCAAAUCCAAAACCCCAGCAGAUCAAACAACCCUCGCACGGCCGCCCACAGAAGAAACCGCACGGAACCCACAGUACCAAAUCCAAGGCUUUCCAAGAGCUAAAAGAAAAAGAUCGUUCUUAUCGAUGUUUGAAAGCGAGAAUCGCCAAAAAACGGAAGGCUGAAGAAAAAACUCUAUAACAAACCUGAAAGAAGCGGAUAAUCGCCGAAUUAGCAGUAGAAUUCUCAAUAGGGUUAGAAGAGCAGAUCGGAGGAUAUUAACUUGGUCACCAAGGGAAUUGAUUCAAUUGCAGAAAUUUGCUCUUCGUAGAAUCUGCCUUCCCGUGAUAUUCGCUGUGUAUAAGUCAAAUUUUCCUCUUGUUUUCUCGGGGUUGCUUGGCUUGGAGGAAAAAGAAGAGAAAAUCUGUGGGAGAAGAGAGAAAAAUAAGAAUGCGAAACUGAUAAGGGACAAAAGAGAGCCUUGAGAGAGAAA
rnacentral:misc_RNA from 1 species